AUGAUUGUUCUCAUAACCAAAGGAAAUGAUCAGCAAUCCCUCAAGGAUUAUAGACCGAUAAGCCUCUGUAAUGUGAUCUACAAAGUGGUCUCCAAAUGUCUUGUGAAUAGGAUGUGCCCCAUGCUCGAUGAAAUUAUCUCGGAGACCCAAAGUGCCUUCAUCCCAGGAAGACUGAUCACGGAUAAUGCCAUCAUUGCGUUUGAAUGUUUCCAUAAAAUCCAACACUACAAGAAUCCAUGA
rnacentral:rRNA from 1 species